rnacentral:tmRNA from 1 species
GGGGGCGUGCUGGUUUCGACGGGGAUGAUAGACUCAGGAAAAGCGGGUCGCGGCUUUCCGGGACCGCGUCAACAACCUGGAGAUAAAUAUAAACGCAAGAAAACCACAAGUAGCUUUAGCUGCGUAAUCAGCUAAGCCGUCCAACCUGAGAUUCCCGCAUCUUAGGACCUGGGCGUCGAUUCAGCGGGGAACCAGCCUGUCAAAGCUUUGAGACAGGUGGGAUUUCAUGAAGCUAGCGUAGCUUAAAUCCUGUUGCCGGGAGUUAAGCGAGGCGAAUCUUAAUACGGCAACUGCACCCGGAGAAGUUCCUGGGGAUACAUCUUCGGACAGGGGUUCAACUCCCCUCGCCUCCACCA